AACCUCCGUAUGCCGUGGGAAGCGGCCCUAGAAUAAAGGCAAAAAGACCAAAAAAAAAAAAAAAAGAAAAAUUUCUUCAAUCUUUGAAAGCCUUCUUAAAAGACAGUAGUUGAAGGAAAAUAGGCACCAACACUGCAGGUGUGCAUUCACUUCUUUCUGAUCACAACCUAUUAGAAAUAAAAAUCUAAAGACUGGGUCUGAAGCAGAAAACAACCAAUAAUGCAAGAGUGAAAAUGAUUAAGGACUGAUUGAUAGGCAGGUGGGAAUCUAAAUAGUCAGUAAAUAAGCAUUUCAUUAAAUGCUGUUCAAGAGAGUCACUAAGUAAAAGGCACAUUUUCUAUCCUUAAAGACCUCGUGUAUUCUAGUCACUAGCACAGAAUGGAUGAAGUGAAAAGCACAGCCUCAUUUGUUAUUAUCAAAUGGCAAAAAUAAAACAAUUUAGUAAAAAAUUUGAUGUCUUUUAUUCAAGGGAAAAUGAUCCAUGGAAUGGGGAGUAAAGUGCCCCCCUCGCCCCCAGUAAGGCAUCUUCUGAAGGGAUUUUAGGCAAAAGCGAGUUUUACAGAGUGUGAAAAGAGGUAAUGCAGAAACAGGCACAACUGACCCUGAGGGCAGGGAUUUUAUUAGUAGGCUAAUGGGUCCUCUUUUCUAAGGUAAGGUGAGCCAGCUGAAGCUGGAGGGCUGAGAUUGGCGUGUGCUAGAUUUUCGUGGUGGGGAGGUGUUUACUGUAAGUGCAGGCUGAGUCAGAUUUCACUCUGUGCCCUGGGCCAGGCCACUGUGGUGGCUUCCAUUUUGUGGGUCCCAUUGUAUAUUAACUCACCUUUAUCACGAUCAGACCCCAAAAGAGGUGAAUACUACACCAGAAUUGUUCAUUCUCUUUCUCCCUUUCCCUCAACAUCUAGUUCCCUGCUUAUCCCUGUCUUUACAGCAUGUCCAACAUUAAUAGGGACUUAGAUUGACCCAGAAACACUUGAUGACAUAGAGAAAGAGCUUUUUUUAAACCAGCAAGACCACGCCACAACAAUGUAUAGAAGGAGGAGCAAAUAUGUCCAUUCUAUUUGACAAGGCUCCUUUUAUGCCUCCCAGUGUUGAAGGAGGGGCUUCGUGUAGGCGAUGAACCUCCUUGUUCCACCCUGCCCUGGCUCUUGGUUGUCUCUCAAACCUCUGUGAUAGUCCAAGAGGCCUAUUUUAUUUUUGGUGGUGCCUAGUAGUUGAGGGCUUUCCUAGAGCUGUCCGUGUCUGGAAGGGAAGGCUCUCAGGCAGCAAAAGGAUUCAGGCAGAUUGGAGGCCAGACCCUCAGGCAGCAGCUUUUAAAACAGGCAGGUACACUCAGUUCUGUGGGACCUCAGCGUAAGCCCAGCGGGCCGCAGAGCCAGGUGAUCCAGGGACCUCCCCCCGCCAGGUGCCAGCUGCAGAAAUCAAAGCACCAGACGAGUGGCUGAGCUUCUGCCUGGGAGGCGGCGGGAGAGCAGGAAGAGGACGCCCAGGCGGGGAAAAGAAGGAUAAAAAGAUGGGUCCCGCCAGCUUCCAUCUUGGAGAGGAUGCGGGCCGCCAGAUGCCAGUCAGGCCAGACGCCUGGGGCAUCUGGCCUGGGGCCAGGGGCCAAGACCAGCCGGUGAGCCUCCUCCCGUGAAGUCUGGGCAUCCCUGGACCUGCUGCCUCUGCCCCGGGUCCUUGAGCAGGGAGAAGCUGGAAGCUAGAACUGUCUCCUGGUGGUGUGGUGCUGAGCUGGAGAAAGGGACUAAGUUUCCAGAGAUGGCAUGGCAUGAAAUGAUAUAGCAAAUGGAACGCAAGAGCAGACCCAAUGAUCCAGCCAUCUUCUAUAUAACCAGAAAUUAAAGAGACGUGUGAAAAUAUAAAACAUUGCCACUGUUUUGCUGUUUUUUCAUUUUGGAAAAUGUAGUUAUUUUAAUAAAUACAUUAUUUCAAUAGCAUAUAAUAGUUUUAUUAUUAAUUAUUCUAGAUACAUGAGUAAAGAAAUUCUUUUAAAUUUUCUAAGCUUUAAUUCCCAGUAUAGUUAAGUAUGGGUAUAUAUUAUAUGCAUAAACAGAGCUCUUUGGGCUUCUCAUUACUUUUUAAAGGCGUGAAGCGGACCCGAGAUCAAAAAGCUCUAGGACCACUAUUUUACAUUUCUACAAAUACUCUACCACACUUCUAGGAUAAGGUUGACUCUAGUACUUAUUUGGUAAUUCCAACUCCAAGAACUUAGCUUUCAACUUUUCAAAAAUAAAGAACUCUACAGAGUUCUUGAUUUUUGCAUCUCAAAGUCUUGUAUAAUAGUUAAUUUGGUAACAUGAGAAAGUAGAAGCUUAAUAAGCAGUGUUUGCCCUCUUUGUUUUCAAAGAAGUUAACUCAGUAAGCAAUCAAAAUUGGAUUCAUUCCUAGCAAUUCAAUAUUCCUUUCAUUCCACCAAAUAUACGUGACUGUAAGGAAGUAUUACUUAGCUAAUAGUUUCCUUUAUUCUUUAUAGAGAUUUGAAUGUAUCUUGGCUAUCCAGCUAAUAAUAAUUUAAUAGUAGAUUUCAUGGUCAUACAACUUAUUACUGAGUAGAUGUCCUUCUGACAUCAAUUUCCAUUUACUCUGAUGUUUAUUGAUGUCACAUAUGACUCCAGUUCAACCUAAUGGCUAAGAAUAGACUGGAUCAAAUGGGUCAGGUUUGCCAUUUGCAUGUGUGAGACAAUGCUCUGUAUUCAAAAUGAAUGUUACUUAUAGCACAAGAAUAAAUGUGCUGCUUCCCAGGAAGAUGGAAGGGAAAUGAGUUCUACUUUUCAGGAAUGCCUGUGUUGCUGGUCCACUGAGCAAAGAGAUGAUGCGUCUUUGCUUAAUAGUCCCUUUCCUCCUGUGUUAUAUCUUAGUACCACUCUUUCCAGAAUGUAAAUAGGAAACCCAAGAAGUUGUGCAGAUGUGAUACGUUUUAGGUCCAUACAAGAGAGCUGCUGAAGAUACCCAGGUGGCAGGUACUCAUGUGGGCAGAGAGAGAGCUCUGUUAAAAAGCAUGUUAAAGCCAUUAGAGGAACUGAGCUUACCAAUAGAGACUCUGCGGAGAAACAGAAACAGGUCAAGGGCAGACUCCACACAAUAUUUUAGUUUAAGGCAUGGCAAGUUGUGGGAGCAUUGCAUGUUUAUCACAUGAUGGUGAACUCCUUUGGGGCGAGGGCUUGCAUAAUUUCUAGUAUAUCUUGAAUGUAAAAUGAAUGAAUGCCCCAAACCAUUAGAUCAUAGCAAAACAAAGAAGAUAUUGUUAUAUGGCAAUUAAGGAAAUAGUUUGAAAAACUAAGGAUGGGAAAUGGGUAAGAGCAUUCAACAUUAUUCCUUGCUUUUGAGAAGUGAUGCAGAGUGAGCACUGCUAACAAUAAAGAAAGAGUAGUAAAGAACAAAUCGAUUGUAAGGAACGUAGGUAUGACUAUAUGGUAAAUACAGAUUGCUCUUUUGGGAAUUUUGAUGGGACGGUGUAGAGAGAGGCCGUAGCAAUUUGAGUGUGUAAUAGGCUUUUGAAUUUUUAGAGUAAAAGAUGUAACAACGUUUUCUGUUACAAUUUAAAAAAUUAGGAAUCCCAAAGGAAAUAGGAUGGAAUGGGAUGAUGUACAUCAAAGUAUUUUUCUUUUUUGUCUUUUUUAGGGCUGCAUCCAUGGCAUAUGGAAGUUCCCAAGCUAGGGGUUGAAUUGGAGCUGCAGCUGCUGGCCUA